GUUGUUCGGAAUUACUGGGCGUAAAGGGCUCGUAGGCGGCCAACUAAGUCAUACGUGAAAUCCCCCGGCUUAACCGGGGAACUGCGUCUGAUACUGGAUGGCUUGAGUUCGGGAGAGGGAUGCGGAAUUCCAGGUGUAGCGGUGAAAUGCGUAGAUAUCAGGAGGAACACCGAUGGCGAAGGCAGGUCUCUGGGCCAUAACUGACGCUGAGAAGCGAAAGCAUGGGGAGCGAACAGG
rnacentral:rRNA from 1 species